rnacentral:rRNA from 1 species
AACGAACGCUGGCGGCAGGCCUAACACAUGCAAGUCGAACGAGAAGCCACCUUCGGGUGGUGGAAAGUGGCAGACGGGUGAGUAACGCGUGGGAACGUGCCUUUCGGUUCGGGACAACCCAGGGAAACUUGGGCUAAUACCGGAUACGCCCUCCGGGCGAAAGAUUCAUUGCCGAAAGAUCGGCCCGCGUCGGAUUAGCUAGUUGGUAGGGUAAUGGACUACCAAGGCGACGAUCCGUAGCUGGUCUGAGAGGAUGACCAGCCACACUGGGACUGAGACACGGCCCAGACUACUACGGGAGGCAGCAGUGGGGAAUAUUGGACAAUGGGCGAAAGCCUGAUCCAGCCAUGCCGCGUGGGUGAAGAAGGCCUUAGGGUUGUAAACCCCUUUCAGCGGGGAAGAUAAUGACGGUACCCGCAGAAGAAGUCCCGGCUAACUCCGUGCCAGCAGCCGCCGUAA